UAAAUUUUUAAAACGCUGUUAAUUCAUGAUAACAUUUCCAAAUUGUCGAUAACAACACGAAACUCAAUUAUUGGGUAGCAACAAUUGCACUGACGUUUAAAAGAAAACAAGAAUACGAAAGGAUGUUUUACUCUGCAAGCUUCUAAAUCUCUGUUUCAGUUUGCAUUGAAACUUCACAAAUCACUAAAUAAGACUGGUUUUGAAAUAAAAUUCUUUAUUUGCCGCCACCAUUGCCGCCACCAGAACCACUGCCGGAUCCUUGACCAGCACCAGCUCCAGCUCCAGCUCCGACUCCAACUCCUAUGCCAAUGCCAAUUCCAAAUCCUCCACCACCCCCAACACCACCACCAUUUCCUCUCCCUCCACCACCUCCGGCUCCCCCUCCACCUCCAA
rnacentral:misc_RNA from 1 species